rnacentral:lncRNA from 1 species
GUCUGGGCUGACAGGUUUUAGGACUGGGAACUUUCUUUUUCUGCCUUCUGGCAGCACUCUGUGCCUUCUGCCUCCUCCCCCCUCCUCUUCCUGUUUCUGCACCAUCCUGUGUGCCGCUGGCCUUCGGGACACCGUUCACUUCAGAUUUCCCCACCAGUGUCUCAGGAUUAAUAGAGACAUAGCAGAGAGAGACGCACCGGCUGAUCAACAGGAAAAGAUACAUUUAAGGAAGAGAUCCAGAUGUCCUCUGACAGAUCCUGGAGAUGCUGUCUGAUAUGGAGAAGGCUGUGCAGGUGCUGCUGCUUUGGAAGCACAGAGGAGCCGUCCCCAGUGCCCAAGGACAUGCCAGGAAAUGUGAGGAUGUUCAGGCACCGUUCUCGGGCCCAAUAUUUUCAUUCAGGGUAUAGUGAAUGUUAUGAUGAAUCAACAUACACUGGUUUUGAGACAUGGGACAAGGACGUCCGGCUUUCUCUUUCCUCAGAUUCUGAAGAAGUGAUAGCAGGAGCGCCAACACCACGCAGGGCUGUUACUGAGUCUCUGUCUUGGGAGGGAGCUGUUUCCAAGGCCCCAGGCAGCAGUGGAUCAGAAAACCAGGAAUCUUCACAGUUAUUAGAACCAGGUAAUUGUCUAAUAUAGGGUGAAGCCAGGGGUGUGUAGUGGGCUGAUGGAAAUGUCCUCUGGUCUCCAGGUUGUGAGGGGAAAGGCUCUCCCAGCUGGAUGACGGAAACACUCAGGGAGCCAGGGUAUGGUCUGGGUGUCUCAGGUUGGAUUGUGGGUAACACCAGGGUGAAGGGAUGUGCCUUUGCCCCUUCAGCUUUUGUGCUUGUUCCUUUUAUGGACUUGCAUUUCCCCUGACAACAUUAGGUAUUAGCUGUGCCUUGGGACCAUGUAGGAAUUUAGUUGCUGUGGUUCCUGCCUGAGGCGAAUAUUGUCCCCCCACCAAAGCCAUGCAGCCUGGUUACCUUUUUAAAUUGGGGGGUGCAGUUUCAGUAGUAACCAAGAACAUUCUUGUGCCUUUGUCUGGAUUCAAAGAACAAUGCCCCUUUUCUUCCCCCUCAUACCAGUCUCUCUGAUGUCUGGGUUCCCAACAGGACAUGUGCAAUUUACAGGACACCUUCAGAUCAUGCCUUUUCUAGCAAUCCACAUCUGACACAUGCAAUGUAUAUUUUUCAGAAGAUACUUUCUUGGAAGAGGAGACACUAGUGCCCCUCCAGGCUCCUAAACUUUGUUCUGGGGUUGAACCAGCUUGUCAUAAUUAUUGGUUUCUCGGGCCUGAAGGAAAGGUGGAUAUGGAGUUGAUUGAUAAGAGUGCAAGCAAAUACAGGUAAGAAUUGAAGAUGUUGAUUGUUUCGAGAGAAUUCUCAUAUAAAGGAAAU